CUUGCUUCUCUUGAGAGCGGCGGACGGGUGAGUAAUGCCUAGGAAUCUGCCUGGUAGUGGGGGAUAACGUCCGGAAACGGACGCUAAUACCGCAUACGUCCUACGGGAGAAAGCAGGGGACCUUCGGGCCUUGCGCUAUCAGAUGAGCCUAGGUCGGAUUAGCUAGUUGGUGGGGUAAUGGCUCACCAAGGCGACGAUCCGUAACUGGUCUGAGAGGAUGAUCAGUCACACUGGAACUGAGACACGGUCCAGACUCCUACGGGAGGCAGCAGUGGGGAAUAUUGGACAAUGGGCGAAAGCCUGAUCCAGCCAUGCCGCGUGUGUGAAGAAGGUCUUCGGAUUGUAAAGCACUUUAAGUUGGGAGGAAGGGCAGUAAAUUAAUACUUUGCUGUUUUGACGUUACCGACAGAAUAAGCACCGGCUAACUCUGUGCCAGCAGCCGCGGUAAUACAGAGGGUGCAAGCGUUAAUCGGAAUUACUGGGCGUAAAGCGCGCGUAGGUGGUUCGUUAAGUUGGAUGUGAAAUCCCCGGGCUCAACCUGGGAACUGCAUUCAAAACUGACGAGCUAGAGUAUGGUAGAGGGUGGUGGAAUUUCCUGUGUAGCGGUGAAAUGCGUAGAUAUAGGA
rnacentral:rRNA from 1 species